rnacentral:rRNA from 1 species
GACAGAGGUGCCGAGCGUUAGGCGGAAUCACUGGGCUUAAAGCGUGUGUAGGCGGAUCUGUAAGUACCUUGUGAAAUCCCACGGCUCAACCGUGGAACUGCUUGGUAUACUGCGGGUCUUGAGCCACCUAGGGGCAAGUGGAACAAACGGUGGAGCGGUGAAAUGCGCAGAUAUCGUUUGGAACGCCAAUGGUGAAAACAACUUGCUGGGGGUGCGCUGACGCUGAGACACGAAAGCCAGGGGAGCAAACGGG